rnacentral:rRNA from 1 species
UACGUAGGGGGCAAGCGUUGUCCGGAAUCAUUGGGCGUAAAGCGCGUGUAGGCGGCUUGGAAAGUCGGGUGUGAAAGCCCUGGGCUCAACCUAGGAAGUGCACUCGAAACUGCCGAGCUUGAGUUCUGGAGAGGAAGGCGGAAUUCUCGGUGUAGAGGUGAAAUUCGUAGAUAUCGAGAGGAACACCGGUGGCGAAGGCGGCCUUCUGGACAGCAACUGACGCUGAGACGCGAAAGCGUGGGGAGCAAACAGG